AUUAAACGCUGGCGGCAUGCCUUACACAUGCAAGUCGAACGGCAGCACGGGGGCAACCCUGGUGGCGAGUGGCGGACGGGUGAGUAAAGCAUCGGAACGUAUCCUGGAGUGGGGGAUAACGUAGCGAAAGUUACGCUAAUACCGCAUAUUCUGUUGAGCAGGAAAGCAGGGGAUCGCAAGACCUUGCGCUCUGGGAGCGGCCGAUGUCGGAUUAGCUAGUUGGUGGGGUAAAGGCCUACCAAGGCGACGAUCCGUAGCGGGUCUGAGAGGAUGAUCCGCCACACUGGGACUGAGACACGGCCCAGACUCCUACGGGAGGCAGCAGUGGGGAAUUUUGGACAAUGGGCGCAAGCCUGAUCCAGCAAUGCCGCGUGCAGGAAGAAGGCCUUCGG
rnacentral:rRNA from 1 species